ACAAAUAUUGCAUUAUGUAUUCUUUUAACCACUAGCUCUUUAAGAAGUCCUUAGCACUCCGAGUAUACAGAGGUAUAACAUAAAUCUUUGGUCAAGAUCUAGGCUAAUUGGCUCUUCACUCUUUCAUUUUGUAGGUAGAAGGAAGAGGUACAAACACACAUGGUCAGUGCAGAUGCAGAAGCAGGCUGGCUUCUUGGACACAUGACCUGUGAGGUGGCAUGAGGCAUCGCGCUCAGAGAAGCUCACUUUUUGGUUUAGUGCUUCGGUCUUACCAUUUUGAAUUUUUGUUUUUGGUACUGGAGACUGAACUCACAACCUCACACUUGCCAGGCAGGCACUUGUGCCUCUGAGCUAAAUCCCUGGUCCUACUAUUUUGAAAUUUUGGAUACGAAUAUCUUUUGAACAGCAUCUCCACAUUUCAUUGUGCACUGGGUCCCACCGAUUCCAUAGCAGUCCUGCCCUUGGGACAUUAGCAAUUCUCUUAACUGUUAGAGGAUCCCAGAUGUUGACAAGAAGAGAAUGAGAUGAAGCGGAAUCAUCAGGGACCAUCAGGAUUCCUUUUGGCUUGUCCUCCUUGAAGUUGCAGGCUUGGCUUGAUCUCUUUUCUUUGGUUGUAGUGAACACGGUCACACUGGUCACACCACUGGAAGGAGGACAGAGAAGGCUGCGAAGGCCGGUUGGGUCAUCCUCAUCAUCAAAACCGGCUGACCCCAACAAUAUGUACAAAAAUAUAAAGUGUAAAUAAAAACAAACAAAUAUUCCUUUCUAAAGUACUUUUAAGAAAAAAAGCAGGGCCUUGGAAG